GACGAACCGUGCAAACGUUAUUCGGAAUCACUGGGCUUAAAGCGCGUGUAGGCGGGCCAGCACGUCGGUCGCUGAAAUCCCCCGGCUCAACCGGGGAACGGGCGCCGAUACGACUGGCCUGGAGGGAGGUAGGGGGAGCCGGAACUCACGGUGGAGCGGUGAAAUGCGUUGAGAUCGUGAGGAACGCCCGUGGCGAAAGCGGGCUCCUGGACCUCGCCUGACGCUGAGACGCGAAAGCGUGGGGAGCGAACAGG
rnacentral:rRNA from 1 species